rnacentral:rRNA from 1 species
GUGUCAGCAGCCGCGGUAAUACGUAGGGUGCGAGCGUUGUCCGGAAUUACUGGGCGUAAAGAGCUUGUAGGCGGUUUGUCGCGUCGUCCGUGAAAACUUGGGGCUCAACCCCAAGCUUGCGGGCGAUACGGGCAGACUUGAGUACUGCAGGGGAGACUGGAAUUCCUGGUGAAGCGGUGAAAUGCGCAGAUAUCAGGAGGAACACCGGUGGCGAAGGCGGGUCUCUGGGCAGUAACUGACGCUGAGAAGCGAAAGCGUGGGUAGCGAACAGGAUUAGAAACCCCGGUAGU